UACAUUUUGUAUUAUAUAAUCUAUUGUUGUUGUGUAAAUAACUAUUAUUGAAUUAAACAAUCUGUUGUUGUUUAUACAAUAAUUUUUAUUUAGCUUUUUUUUUUACUUAUUAUAUUAAUGAUAGUGUUGAGUUGAUUUAUAUAUGCAGAUAAAAUAAAAAUAUGACAUUUUCAAGCCGUUUAUAAUAGAAGGCCUAGAAAAAAGGCCAAGACAAUAGAAGAGGAGCUUUCUAUGGCUAGAGGAAAAAAUGAGAAUGAUGAUAGAGAAGACAAUGAAAAAUACCGUGAAGAAGAAGAAGAAAUUGAAGAAAAAGGUGAAGAUGAAAAUGAUAGUGAAAAAGGUGAAGAUGAUAAUGAUAGUGAAGAAGAAGGUGAAGAUGAAAAUACUAGUGAAGAAGAAAGAGAAGAGGAAAGUGAAGAAAAAAAUGAAGAAGCAUGUGAUAAUGUACUAUCCCUAAAGAAAGUGAAAAAGCAAUUGAAGAAGAAGAUGAAAAAAUAAGUAAUGUGUCAUCCAAAAGAAGAUCAAAAUUGUUACAUGAUUGUUUCUAAAGUAAUAAAAUGAAUAUUUAUUUGUUUAAACAACCUGAUGGAGUUUGCACUAAAAUAUAAUACAGUAAGUUUGAUUGUUUCUAAAGUAAUUAAAAAAUAUCUGAUUGUUUAAACAACCUGAUGGAGUUUGCACUAAAAUAUAAUAAAGUAGUACACCUUAUUCUGAUUCCUACAAGUGCUGGAAAAAAAAUUACAUGAAAAUCUUGAAAGCUUUGUUGAUGAGAUAGCAGAUGAAACAAAUGACAAAUUAAAAGUUGAUUUAGUUGGGGUGACAGCUAUAACAAAUGAUGUAGGAUAUAAAGAUGUUGAUGGUGAAGAUAGGGUGAUUACAAAGAUUAGAUAUAAUGAGAAAAGUCCAUCAAGAGGUGAGAAUGCAGAAAGAAACACUUCAAGAGUGAACAAAGUAGCUUAUGGAGUCCUUUAAAAAAUUAUGAUAAUCGAACGGCUGAUAAUCCUAUGGACUUUGAUUUUGAUGGUCAAUAUACUGAUGGAGGUGUUGGCUAUAGUAUAGGCAAUUAGAAUUUUUUUGAUUAUCAACAAUAAGUGUUGGUUUAUAUGAUAAUAUAAUAUAUUUGUUUAUUAACUUUUA